CUUUCUUGUUUGAUCAUAAGUUACUCAUUCUCGUCUGAGAAGAAGAAUUGGAAAGUCUUACAGAGUCCUGUGACAAGGUGUGCAAACAAACACAAGAUAAACAUGAAGAUCUCCGGCACUGUUUUGCUGUUUGGUAUCGUGGCUUUGAGUCUAAUUGAAUGCUUCGUAACAGCUGAAGAAAAGGAGGCCGCCGAGGGAAAAGGAUACCAACAACUUCAAGGUGAUGCCUCCCGAGGAAGACUAGAAAGAGGUGAAGAAUUGCCGGCCGAAAACGGAAAAAAAUUCCUCAGACGAUCAAAAGAAGGUG